rnacentral:lncRNA from 1 species
AACUUGAAGAUUGAGUAAAUCCUGAAGAUUGAAGAGUGAAGCUUAAAGAAGAAUGAUUCCAACUGAAGAAAGGAUUGAAGGUGACUAUUUAUAGAGUUUUUCUUUUCAUCUCAAUUCUGUUAUGGAUUCUCCAUUUAGUUAUAAAGUUUGUUAGAUGGUUUUGAUUCAGUUACCGAGUUGGUUAUAGCGGUUAGUUUCAAGUGAGAAUUGGUUAGAAGUUUAGAUGCAAAUGAAAAUAAUUGAAAUUAACUUGAAAUGUAACUUAAAUUCUGUCUGAAAUACUGCUAUGAAAAUUCUGCUAUGACAGUUAAUGGAGUUUCCGGUUAGCCUUUCGUAGUUGGUUAAAGUUGAUUUUCCCUGUUUAAAAACUGCUAAAUAUUUCAUGAACUGCUGCUAUCCAUUUUUGUCAAUGUGUGGCCUAUGUUGUGAACUUUUUCUGUUAGAAAAUACAAUUAUUAAUUUGUGAUGUUAGGUUGAUUAAUGUUAAAUUAAUUUGUUAUUGCUAGUUUUGAGUUUGGAAAUUGGUGACUACAACAGUUAGAUUAAUCGGCAACUUAGAAUUGACUCUUGGAAUAGGUAAUAACAACUAAUUCCCAUGGGUUUCAUAACAGGUUUUGGAAGUGAUUAGUCAUUGUUCUUGCGCAUGUUUAUUCCGUGUUUGCUGCAGAAUCGCAUUUUUGAUUGGCUCAACAUUGUAUUGGUUCAGAAUUGUUUCGAAUCAGCUCUGUUUUGAUUCGGUAAGUUCUAUUUUGGUUUGGAAUAGAAUUUGCAAUUGGGAUUACCUUUUGGAUCUGGUUUGUGUUCAACUGAAUAAAAUGCGGUUUUUCGACGUUGCUCACAAACCACUAUUUGGCUUCCUUUACUUGAUUCUAGCUCAGACUUAAACUUAUUGUUGCUACUUCUUGCCGGUGCUGAACUUUUGGUUGCUAUGGUUGUGCAGGUCGGUUGAAUGAACUCAUGUUUGCGUAUGGAGUGAUUGAUUUGGAAGGUGGAAACGUUUUGUUUUGUGUAGUUUAUAAUUAGUUUUGGAAAUUCUGUAACUUUGGAUGGGAAUGAAUCAUGAAUUGGAAACAUGGAUUAACUUGUAAUUAAAUGAAGAAUGGGUUUGUAUGGAAUGUCAAUAAAUUGUAUAUUAAACGGGAAUCGUAAUAAACUUAUGGAAAUAUUAUGAAUACAAACUUAGAAAUUUGUGAAUGGCAUUGAAUGUAAGUUUGUGAAUGGCAUUGAAUGUAAGUUUGGGAGAUUUGGAAUGAUUUGAAAUGGCAAAUGUAUUGGGAAUAAAUGGUGUACAAUGUUGAAUGGUUUACAUGAAAAGGGUUAAUGGAAAGGGUAAAGCUUUGUAUGAAAUUGAUUGAAAGUAGAAGGAUUUUGUUUUAGUUUCAAAGAAAUAAAUAAAGCUCACAUCCAAGUAUUGAUUGUUAUUCUAAAACAAAUGAUACAUUAAUAAGUUGAAUUGAGAAAGAAAAAAAAAAGCAAAAUUGGGUUAUGUAAAAUGAUUUGAAA